rnacentral:lncRNA from 1 species
ACGGCGUCAAGCAAGCGGCGCGCAGAGUGCAGGCGCAGGCUGCGGCGGCUUCGGAACACGGGUCCUGGAUGUAGUUGCUGCGGGUUGUCCUGGCUCUGCCCGCUUCCGCCCGGAGGAAGCGCGGCUACGUCAUAACCAUGGGAACCCCCGCCAGCGCAUGCGCAGGAGCUCACACCCGGCAGGUUGGCCGGAGCGGUAUUUCGAGUCGGACACCGGAUACUGCCCGGGUCUCACUAUGCAGCCCAGGCUGGCCUCGAGCUCAUUGGCGAUCCUCCUCCCUCAGCCUCCCUAGCGCUGGGAUUACAGGCGUGCUCCACCACGUCAGGCUUAGAAAUUUUCAUCUUUUGAACAGUUUAUGGACUAAAAAUUUUUCCAGCCUUAGAGAUAUGUGACAAAUGUAUAUAUUUGGCAUGUACAGAGCCAUGUCUCGACCUAAGUUAUCACCUGACCGUUUUUUUAAUUUUAGUUUGUUAGACACUAUUUUUACUCCGGGUUUCUCAUAUAAGAAAAACCAUGUGAUAUUUAAGUCUUUAUUUUAGUUUAUCAGUCUUUUUGUUUUUAUAGUUACUUCCGUGUAUGGUGAGAACGUUACAAUCUCAUAGCAAUUGUCAAGUGGACCAUGCAGUAUUAUUAAGUAAAAUCGCCGUGCCUGCGACAGAGUCCAGGGUGUGUGCAUAAAUGAAACUAGCCUUUUCCUGACAGUCCUCCACCCCAGCCCUGUAUCCCUUGGGAAUCGCUGGGCUGACUCAGACCCUUCUGAGCCACACUUUCUGGGAUUAUUGAUAUAGGGUGAUGGUUUUUCUGUGCUUUCUUUUUUUUUUUUUUUUGGUUGGUUGGUUUUGGUUUUGGUUUUUUGAGACAGAAUCUCACUAUGUAGUUGAAGCUGGCCUUGAACUCGCUGUGUAGUCCAGGCUUGAAUUUGCAGAGACCUUCCUGCCUCAGCCUCCUUAGUACUGGGAUUACAGGCGUGCACCACCAUACCCAGUAGGCAGUUUGAUGGAAUACUUUUAUUUCUCAAAAUAUACCCACUUAAUCCUUUGCCUUUUCAGUAAGCGUCUGGUCUAGUUCUUGGGAUGCAUCACAAACGAAACAAAAAUCAGAAACCCACUGGUGCUCAGGAGCUUUGGAUCUAAUUAAGCUUUUUAAAUUGCCUUACACUCACUAAGACGUAAGAUCUAUGGGCGCAAGUAUUUUCUUUUCCAUUUUUCUGGCAAUUUUAUUCUUGUGCAUUAGCACUAAGCAAAUAUUUGUUAAAUUAUAAAAUAAAUGGGCUGGGGGCGUCCCGGCCGCGAGCUCACCGUGUGCUCCCUGCUCCUUGGGCUCCUGCGGCCGCCCCGCCCGCCAUGCCCUCCUCCUCGGAAGACAUCUACGCCGCCGCGUUCCCGGGCAAGCCCCCCCCCCCCCAGGCGGCCCUGCGGCUGCGCUUCAUGCGGCUGUCGGAGCACUCCAGGAGCACGCCGCCGGCCACGACCUGUACAGUGCCGGUGAUUAUAUAAUACCACCGAUGGAGAACGCUCUUGUGAAAACGGACAUUCAGAUUGCUCUUCCUCCUGGGUCCUAUGGAAGAGUAGCUCCACGAUCUGGCUUGGCUGCCAAACACUUCAUAGAUGUUGGAGCUGGAGUCAUAGAUGGAGAUUAUAGAGGAAAUGUUGGCGCUGUGCUGUUUAAUUUUGGCAAAGAAAAGUUUGAAUUAAAAAAGGCGAUCGAAUUGCCCAGCUCAUGUGUGGACGGACUUAUUACCCAGAAAUAGAAGAAGUUCAAGGAUUGGACAGUACCGAGAGGGGUUCCGGAGGCUUUGGAUCCACUGGGAAGAAUUAAUUAAAAUUUAGGCUAAAAUGAGAAAAUGCCCUUUUUUCUUAAAAAGAGACUUUUUGGCUAAAGUGUUUUAUACAUCUGUAAACUUAAAAUUUUUAAUUUGCUAUGGUAAAGGAAAAGGUAUCUCAAAAAAUGCAAAAAAAACACAAAGGUGUCUCUGUUAGCAUCGCUUAGAAACUUUGUGUUAUCUGCAGUUGAAGGCUGUAUAUAAAUCUGAUUUGUGGUGACCUGAUACAGACAUAAAAAUCUAAUGUAUAUCAGUUACAGAUUUUUAAAUAACUGUAAUUUAAUUCAAUAAACAUUCAACAUAAAAAAUAAAUAAAUAAAUAAAAAUAAAUGAGCCGGGGAUUUAGCUCGGUGGUUCUGUCGACUCCAUCACAAGUGCAAGGUCCCGAGUUCAAUCCCCGGUACUAAAAAAAAAAAUUAUAAAAUAAGUUCUUGAGGGCAGUGUCAUAAAUAUUAGUUAAUUCUGACACAUAUGUUCUGCGAUUUGUUAGACUGUUUCCUAAAACAGUCCUAACUGAAC